AUCUCUUAAUAAUAGUGUCUUUGAUUAAACAUAUACUAUAUUUGUCGUUUGAAUAAUCUCGGGUUUUGAUAUCGCUAAAACGUAUACCCACUAUAGCCGGAUUCCUGAACUAUAUCGAACGUUGUUGCAUACGUCACACAAAAGAGAAACUAGCGACGCUAGUGGUACAGAAAGAAAACGUAGGGUGGACGAUAUUGGUAGCAGGUUCUGUCAAUUUUCCCAUUUGAGUUCGUGCUCCUUGUGUAGUCUCCAUGUUCAGUGGGUUUAAUUAUUACCGAUCUAAGGGAAUUGGUGGAGGGUGCCCGUAGCCCAGUGGAUAGGGUAGCGGAUUCACGACCGAAAAGGUUGGAGGUUAGCGCCCAGCUUCCAGCGGCAUUCACCAAUAUGUUUUUAUAUGAAAAUUUAAGUCCCCUCACGCUGAGUUGAAUAAGGCCCGUCUCGCAAGAAUAGCCGUGUAUUUGAUCAUCGGCGUAGUGUAAUCAGCUGUCGAGAAGCGGAAGCGAACACCAUGGUUUGCUACGUGUCGAAUGUGUAACAAUUUGUGACAUUAACGGUAUCGUUCAAAGAUUAUAUUACAAUCUAUUCAUUGUUUAUAAGUACAGCAAUGCGGCAGCUGAAGGGAAAGACCAAAGAAACCAAGAAGCAAAAGAAGGAACGCAAAAAGGAAUUUCUUGAAAACAAGCAACGAAUUUUUACUGUUGUAUUACCAACAAUGACUGCAAUUGUUUUAAUCAUUGCAACAUAUGUUUUCUUUAAAACACGUCCAAAAGUGGUGGAAUACUAAUAUCCUUGAAAUUGCAAAUUAAUUUGUUAACUUUCUGGGUGGUUAUUUUAAGAAAGAUAUAUUUAAAUAUUAUUACUAUGUUAUGUAAAAAAUAGAAUGUACCAUGUAGGACACAACCAUUUUUCUAAGGCAAUUGAAUGUUCUAUAUGUGUGCAUCAAUAGUUUUGAAAUCUGUGUAAAGUACUAUAAUAAUAUUACAUUAAAAAUGGAUGGUUACUAUGAAUUAGUUAUUUUUACAAGAAUUUUACAAAAAAUGUUCAAGACAUGAUAUCAGUUAACAAGCUAUUUCAAAGACUAUAUAAAAUUAAACAUUCAAUUUGAAUAUAUGAUUAUUUUCCUAUGACUAUAAGUGUUACUGAAUAAAAAGAUUUUGUGUUAUAAUUUAGGGCAGAGCACUUUCUUGCAAACAAAAAACAUUCAUUUUCUAUCAAGCAAACAAACGCGCGUGGACAUAAAAAAUAUAAUACUUCUAGGGUACGUUUCAUUUAACGCACGGACGCUCACGACUUCAGCCGUUCCACUAGUCUGUGAACGUCGCAAGCGUUACGGGCUACAGUCUUAAGUGGAACGCCUUGGAGGCAACUGAAGCUAAUGCAACAUGGCUGCUAUUAAGUUAAAGCGUCAACAACAAUUGUGAAUCCCAUUGAAAUUGCUGUUGCAUUUCUGCUUCGUCGAAAAAGAGUCAAUGGCGGUGUUUCUGUUGAACAUACCCAAUGAGUCUGAAAGUUCAUUAAGUUUCAACGAGGAAUGAGAAGCUUUGCGAAUGCGAGGAAGAUGAGAACUUCGUCUACGAGUUAGAGAAUGUCAAAGGCUACAUUUGAAUAUCUUCUCAGCAUCAUUGAAGAAGAUAUAACCAGGAAAAUGAAAAGCUGCCCAACUGUCCCUGCUCACUAGCAGGUAAUGAUAGCCCUUUGAAAAAUGGCUACUAUGGACUCGUACAGAUCUAUUUGUGAUCGGUUUAAUGUUGGGAGGGCUACAGGUCUUUGAGCUGUGCAAAGAGUCACUCAUGCUCUGUUCAGAUGGUCAGCAAAAUUCAUUCAAUAGCUUACUGAUAAUAGAGUUUUUUAAGUAAUGCAAAGAUUUAAAAAAGCUAGCGAAUUUCCAAAAACUAUGGAGCCAUUAAUGCUACCUACAUUUGUAUUGAUGCUCCAAAGGGAAACACAGCAGAUUAUAUUAAUCUUAAAGGUUUUUAUUACAUUCAAUUGCAGUUGGUGUGUGACUGUGACGUGCAGGGCAUUAUUACACGUCUAGCAAAGUUAAUCUCUCGCGUUACGCAUGGAAGUUUAUUUUUAGGGGGUCUCAUGUCCCUGGUUCCUGAAUCUUACAAGUUGACUUGCGAGCAAUGUAUGAUGUGUUGGUACUUCCGGCGGACGACGGAGUCUGCGGAGCGUUUUUCUACGUGGGUCCGCCCUCCUUGAUGUUGAAGGUGUGGUUGAAGACGGGGAAAAUUUUAAUUCCGUCCUGUUCGCGUCAUCGUCCGAGAAUGCGGACAAUCAACCAAGUGCAGGCGAUCUGCGAGCGCCGACAGAUGCUGCGAGUGAUGACCGACGUCAUCUGGGCGCAUAACAAUGCAGAGGACGACCCCCUUGGGCUGGGCCGAUUAUUCUUGAUUUAGUGGAAAAAUAAAGAGCAAUAGUUUUCGUGGCUACAUAA